rnacentral:rRNA from 1 species
UACGGGGGGGGCAAGCGUUAUUCGGAAUUAUUGGGCGUAAAGGGCGCGUAGGCGGCGAUUCAAGUGACGGGUGAAAUCCCUCGGCUUAACCGGGGAACUGCGUCUGAUACUGGAUGGCUUGAGAUUGGGAGAGGGAUGCGGAAUUCCAGGUGUAGCGGUGAAAUGCGUAGAUAUCAGGAGGAACACCGGUGGCGAAGGCGGGUCUCUGGGCCGAUACUGACGCUGAGGAGCGAAAGCGUGGGGAGCAAACAGG